rnacentral:rRNA from 1 species
UACGAAGGGGGCUAGCGUUGCUCGGAAUCACUGGGCGUAAAGGGCGCGUAGGCGGCGUUUUAAGUCGGGGGUGAAAGCCUGUGGCUCAACCACAGAAUGGCCUUCGAUACUGGGACGCUUGAGUAUGGUAGAGGUUGGUGGAACUGCGAGUGUAGAGGUGAAAUUCGUAGAUAUUCGCAAGAACACCAGUGGCGAAGGCGGCCGACUGGUCCGGUUCUGACGCUGAGGCGCGAAAGCGUGGGGAGCAAACAGG